rnacentral:misc_RNA from 1 species
GGCCAAUUGGGUACCUGUGGUUCCGUUGUCAGCACUGCCAAAAGGAGAGAGACGUGUUAUUAUACAAGAUGGGGAAACUAUACUCUUGCUUUGGUAUAAAGAUGAUGUUUUUGCUAUUGAAAAUCGUUCCCCUGCUGAAGGUGCUUAUAGUGAAGGACUUCUUAAUGCUAAGCUCACUCAGGAUGGAUGUAUCGUGUGUCCUACAACAGAUAGCACAUUUUAUCUGCAAAAUGGAGCCAUCAAAGAAUGGUAUCCGAAUAAUCCUGUGCUGAGAGUCCUUACUCCCGCCUUGAGAAAUUUGUUUGUUUAUCCUGUUAAAACCGAUGAUGAGAAUAUCUACAUCAGCACGAGAGGUGGAAAAGUUGAUGCUUCUGCAGAGAUUGUUUUCAGUGGAAAGGCUCAACCUGGUGUAACAGCAACUGACGUGAAUGUAGACGAGGUAAGAAUGGUUAUCGACGAGGGUCAAGAGGCCUUUGGGUUCACCAGAAGGAAUGAACUGAUAAAUGGAAAAGCAGCAGUAAUUGGUUUCCUAUUACUGUUGGAUUUUGAACUCUUGACCGGCAAAGGUCUUCUCAAAGGAACAGGGUUCUUGGACUUCAUUUACUCAGUUUCAGAUGCUUUCAACUGAAACUGUUUCGCUUAAGGAAAUUCUUAUUCCCCGUCCCUCUUUUCCCCCCCUUUUACUAUUUCUCUGAAAAUGCUUAAACCAAAUCAAAGAACUGUUGAUCUUUGUAUAUGUUGUCCAACUUUAU